GGGGAUAUAGCUCAACUGGGAGAGCGUCCGCCUUGCACGCGGAAGGUUGCCGGUUCAACUCCGGCUAUCUCCA
rnacentral:tRNA from 1 species